rnacentral:rRNA from 1 species
AUUGAACGCUGGCGGCAGGCCUAACACAUGCAAGUCGAACGAGUGGCGGACGGGUGAGUAAUGUCUGGGAAACUGCCUGAUGUAGGGGGCUAACUACUGGAAACGGUAGCUAAUACCGCAUACCAUCAGAUGUGCCCAGAUUGGAUUAGCUUGUUGGUGGGGUAACGGCUCCCCAAGGCGACGAUCCCUAGCUGGUCUGAGAGGAUGACCAGCCAAACUGGAACGGAGACACGGUCCAGACUCCUACGGGAGGCAGCAGUGGGGAAUAUUGCACAAUGGGCGCAAGUCUGAGGCAGCCAUGCCGCGUGUAUGAAGAAGGCCUUCGGGUUGUAAAGUACUUUCAGCGGGGAGGCGUUACCCGCAGAAGAAGCACCGGCUAACUCCGUGCCAGCCGCCGCGGUAAUUC